rnacentral:rRNA from 1 species
AGGGUUUGAUUCUGGCUCAGGAUGAACGCUGGCGGCGUGCUUAACACAUGCAAGUCGAACGAACGGAGGAGAGCUUGCUCUCCAAAGUUAGUGGCGGACGGGUGAGUAACGCGUGGGUAACCUGCCCUAUGCAGGGGGAUAACGUUUGGAAACGAACGCUAAUACCGCAUAAACUAUGGGUGUUCGCAUGAACAUUAUAGCAAAGAUUUAUCGGCAUAGGAUGGACCCGCGUUGGAUUAGCUAGUUGGUGAGAUAACAGCCCACCAAGGCGACGAUCCAUAGCCGGCCUGAGAGGGUGAACGGCCACAUUGGGACUGAGACACGGCCCAA